ACAGUCGUAAGAAGCGGUUGGAGGUGAUUUCGGCAGAAAAAAAGUCGAAAGCCUAAUUGAUUGCUAUAUGAAGCGACUGUGAGUUGUUGGAGCUUCAGAUUUUUGAGAUUCUGCUUUUGCAAGAAAUUGAUAUGCCAUCGGUGGAAGAUCAACGAAGUAAGCGACGUCAGUUGGAAGAACACAAGGAACUUGGAGAAUGCAGCUACAGUCGCAAUAUAUUUUGAUCAUAGCAGAAAGAAAUCUCAGCAGGACUUAAAGUGAAUAAAGAUCAGGUUGCUAGUUGUUCCCCGCACCAUUUGUGCUUGGUCCCUCAAGAUCUUUCUAUCAUCAGGCAAGUGCGUUGAAGGAGAAUAAAGAGCUGUGCUGAAAGGUUCAUACAUUACAUGGAACUCCCGGGAGCAGGGCUCCCAGAAGCCAUGAAUUAAUAAUGUUUCAGAA